rnacentral:rRNA from 1 species
UGGCUCAGAUUGAACGCUGGCGGCAGGCUUCACACAUGCAAGUCGAGCGGUAGCACAGGGGAGCUUGCUCCCUGGGUGACGAGCGGCGGACGGGUGAGUAAUGUCUGGGAAACUGCCUGAUGGAGGGGGAUAACUACUGGAAACGGUAGCUAAUACCGCAUAACGUCGCAAGACCAAAGAGGGGGACCUUCGGGCCUCUUGCCAUCAGAUGUGCCCAGAUAGGAUUAGCUAGUAGGUGGGGUAUGGCUCACCUAGGCGACGAUCCCUAGCUGGUCUGAGAGGAUGACCAGCCACACUGGAACUGAGACACGGUCCAGACUCCUACGGGAGGCAGCAGUGGGGAAUAUUACACAAUGGGCGCAAGCCUGAUGCAGCCAUGCCGCGUGUGUGAAGAAGGCCUUCGGGUUGUAAAGCACUUUCAGCGAGGAGGAGGCUCCUUUAGUUAAUACCUAAAGUGAGUGGACGUUACUCGCAGAAUAAGCACCGGCUAACUCUGUGUCAGCAGCCGCGGUAAUACAGAGGGUGCGAGCGUUAAUCGGAUUUACUGGGCGUAAAGCGUGCGUAGGCGGCUUUUUAAGUCGGAUGUGAAAUCCCUGAGCUUAACUUAGGAAUUGCAUUCGAUACUGGAAAGCUAGAGUAUGGGAGAGGAUGGUAGAAUUCCAGGUGUAGCGGUGAAAUGCGUAGAGAUCUGGAGGAAUACCGAUGCGAAGGGCAGCCUCUGGCCUUAUACUGACGCUGAGGUUCAAAAAGCUGGGGAGCAAACAGGAUUAGAUACCCUGGUAGUC